GGAGAAGGGAGAAGGAGAGAGCCGAGAGAGCUGAUGGAGUCGGAGCAGCUUCCAGCUGCAUGGUCUCUGCACGAUGAGGAAGCGGAGGUGGGCGGGGCCUCACCGCCAUUCAUGGGUGUGUCUGAAGACCUGGGAGGUGGUCCUUUAAUCCCCGUGACACAACAUAGAAAGGAUGAUCCGUGGUCAUGUGACAGCUCUGCGUCCUCCUCUGAAGACAGCGACGAUGAUGAUUCGAGGUGGAGGAAGAAAAAAAAGAAGAAGAAACUUAGGAAAAAGAAGAGCAAGAGAUCGAGUUCGUCAUCAUCGUCUUCCUCCAGUUCCUCGUCGGACAGUGACAGCAGUGAGGAAGAGAAGAAGAAGCGGAGGAGGAGGAGGAAAAGGAAAGAGAACGCUGUGACGACAGCGAUACCUGAGUCAGGCCUCGUGCUGGAAAUUGUGUUAACGCCACUAAAACAGCAAAACGACGAGCGAGAGAUGAAGAAAGCAAAAAAAGACAGCACUAGAAAGAAGAAAAAGAAGAAGAAGAAGAGAAUGAAGAAGGACUCAUCGUCUGACAGCUCCAGUGACGAUGAAAAGAAGAAGAAGAAGAAGAAGAAGAAAGACAAGAAAAGAAAGAAGAAAAGAAAGGAGAUGAAGAAAAAGAAAAAAUACUCGAGCUCCAGCUGCAGUUCUUCCUCGAGCGAGAGCGAUGACGAGAAACUGAGCCGGAAAUUAAAGAAAGAGGAACCGUGGGGCGAUGACGCUGCGAGAGACGAGGGGUUAUUACGGGGCGAGCUGGAGGGAAGGGCUGAAGCGGCGGCUGAUGAUUGGACAGCAGCUUCACCAGCAUUCCCUGCGGCCUGUGAGGCUGAGAGGACCGGUGGGAUAUGUGAUGAUGGUGAAAGAGGAGAAGAAGAAAAGAAAGGGAAGCUGAAGAAAAAGAAAAAGGAUUCUGCUUCAUCUUCAGAAUCGUCGUCCUCCUGUUCAGACAGUUCCUCCUCAGACAGCGAGGAUGACAAGAAAAAGAAGAAGAAGAAAAAGAAGAAGAAGAAGAAGAAGAAGAAGAAGAAGGACUCGAGCUCUUCAUCUUGCUCCUCAUCCUCUUCGGAUAGUGAGGAUGACAAGAAGAAAAAGAAGAAGAAGAAGAAAAAGAAGAAGAAGAAGAAGAAGAAGAAGGACUCGAGCUCUUCAUCUUGUUCCUCAUCCUCUUCAGAUAGUGAGGAUGACAAGAAGAAGAAGAAAAGAAGAAGAAGAAGAAGAAGAAGGGGAAAAAGAAGGCCAGCGGCUCUUCAUCUUCAUCGGACAGCGAGAGGAACGGAAGAGGAUGAAGAAGAAAAAAAGGGGAAAGAAGAAAAAGCGCAAAUCCAAGAAGAUGAAGAAGAAGGGUUCCAGUUCUCCUUCUCCUCACGAUGUUGAUGAAAAUAAAGAAAAGCAGGAAGACUUAAAGAAGGUGGAAGUGAAGGGAGAAGAUCGGGAUGGACGGAGCGACGCAACGGGAGGAGUAGAGGACGGAGAAAGAUACGAUAUGUUCCCAGACGAUCCUACACGUGGCGUCUUUACUGAGGGGGCGGAGUCUCAGGGGGAGGGCUCCAGGGGCACCUGGAGGGGCGGAGCUUUAGGCUACAAGUCUCACCUGGACACCGAGAGGAACAGCGACGAGUCACAAUAUCAGAUGUUGAACGAGAAUGAAUUGUGAUUUCUUUUUUUAAAAAAACAUUUUGCUUUUUAUAAUUCAGAGUAAAAAAUCAUUCAUAUGUUCAGUUUAUCUCACACUCUAAAGAUUCGAGUUUAGAUUUGAUUCAGGCGAUUCACUUGUUUAACUUGUUUCGUUUUCCGGUACACAAUCACAGGUUUUGCAUUAGGAACGGGUUUCUUUAUGUCAGAGAUUUCAGAUGUGUUUUUUUUUUCUUUUUUUUUUGCUUCAUGGAGCAUGAAAUUCUGACUUUUUUUUUUGCUUAAGUUGACGUUUUAGACGCUAGUUCAGAUUUCAGAUUUGAUCGAAUGCGCACAAAGGGAUAAAAUGACGAAUAAGGACAAAUUAGAUCUGAAAGUUUUGUUGACAGUUUGCUUUUAGCGAAUAAAAUCGGAAAUGUUUGGUAGUCGUAAGGAAGCUAUAUUUAUCGCGGAAAUCAUUUCAUCCCGUUUCUUUGAUCAGUCUGGAUAUUUCUGCAGAAAAUGUUUUCAUUUCGAAUCCCAUUUUAAUAACUUUUCAGAUAAUAAAACGGCAAGAGUGAUGAAAUGAAAACCUGAAAACCGCGACAUUACAACCCAGUCUAAAAUUUUAUCUAGAAGAAUCUAGAAACUCUUGCAUUGACAGAAAUAGAGAUUAUGAAAAACGAUACACUUUGGGGACACUCAUUCGCAAUAAACAACCACAACAACAAAAUAAGCUUUUCAUUUGAUUCACCUUUGUAUUAAUCAGCUGGCAUAAAGUGAGAUUUGUUUUUCUUUUUUUUUUGCUUUUUUUUUUGCUUUUCAGUAAAAAAAUGAUUUCAGGCUGUUUAGGAUUUAAU
ensembl:lncRNA